GAUCCUUGAUGGAGCCCCAUAACCACUGGAAAAUGGUCUGAGUCGGCACCCACCGUCCUAACCCUAGUCUUAGCUCCAUCGUACAUGUCCUUGAUUACUCUGAUGUAGGCUUCCGGCACGCUCUUCACCUCCAAGCACCUCAUGGAGCCCCAUAACCACUGGAAAAUGGUCUGAGUCGCCACCCACCGUCCUAACCCUAGUCUUAGAUCCAUCGUACAUGUCCGUAAUUACUCUGAUUUAGGCUUCCGGCACGCUCUUCGCCUCCAAGCAC
rnacentral:lncRNA from 1 species